GUGCCCGUAGCUCAGCUGGAUAGAGCAACGGAUUUCUAAUCCGUCGGUCGUAGGUUCGAAUCCCACCGGGCACACCA
rnacentral:tRNA from 1 species